CUCUCAGCUACCCCCUUGAACCUCGCACUUGACUGUAAAUACCAACGUCGCUUCGCUAACUCGGGGAGGGGAUUUGGGGAGCCAAAUCUCCGUCCCGCCGGCGGGCAAAGGUUUGAAGAUGGGAACGCGGAGCGAGCCGGAUGCGGCUCCACCAUGCCGACCCUUGGGGCACGAGCGGAGCGGGAAGGAAGGAAGGAAGGAAGGAAGGAAGGAAGGAAGGAAGGAAGGAAGGAAGGAAGGAAGGAAGGAAGGAAGGAAGGAAGGAAGGAAGGAAGGAAGGAAGGAAGGAAGGAAGGAAGGAAGGAAGGAAGGAAGGAAGGAAGGAAGGAAGGAAGGAAGGAAGGAAGGAAGGAAGGAAGCCGUGUUGUGCAGGGCCUGCGCCUGGAAGCGGCGUUUCUUCGAGCAUCUUUCGCCCGACGCGCCAGCAGCCCGGUGCGACUGCAGAAGUUUAAAAAUGGUGACUGAGUUGUACAGGAGAACCAGGACAAUCCCAAAAAAUUCAGAAGAUGUCCGUGAUCAUACGGGUAUGACUAGCAAAGGAGAGCUGGUUCUAGUGCCUGCUGCGUUUUGGAUUUGUUUCGUGCCAGGAAGGAGUCGAGCUUCUGACUUCUGAAUAAUACCUAAACUUUGUGUGUGAUACUUCUCCUGAUAAUACAUUGGUAAGUUUAUGUCCUCAUUUUCAGUGCUAGCAUGAUACCCUCUUUACUCGGGCUGUAAUUGAAAGAAAGGCUGCAACUGCUCUUUGAACAGCUCUUCUUACUGGAGCAGCUUUUGCAGAAAACUCUAGCUGGCCCAGCCACAGUUUGGGAAUAAGUAAAUAAGGGGCCAGACUUUG
rnacentral:lncRNA from 1 species